UAGAAAGAAGUUGCAAGAGGAAACUAGGAAUUUCCUUUCAAACUCCAUCAAACCAUCCCAUUUGAAUGUUUUUUAAAAAAAUUCCAAAAAUUCUUCCUGUGAGGAUGCAUUGGAUAAAGCAGGUCAAAGUGGCUGAAGAGGGCUAAGCAAGCCUCUUGGGGAAGAUGGUAUCAUCUGAUCCAUACACAUGUCACAUUCAGAACAUUCUGCAUGGUUGCUGCUGAGCUCCCAUCUGUCAGAUCUCAACAGUGAGAACAAAGACUAGAGAUCUGAGUAAUUCAAGAAACAUCCAUUUACUAGCUGGCAAGACAAAUAAAAUUAGGAGGAGCCACUUUCUUCCUGCUACAUUAUUGAUACGUGUUCUACCGGCCAUACCGCAUUUUACAUAAAAUGCAUUCAACUAC